rfam:Erinaceus europaeus unplaced genomic scaffold scaffold00274, whole genome shotgun sequence
GGAUGUGAGGGUGAUCUAGCUAUGACAUCUAUCACCCCAUUGAUCGCCAGGGUUGAUUCAGCUGAUCUGGCUGGCUAGGUGGGCGACCCCUUCCUCCCUUACAGCUCCAUGUGCAUCCCUCCCGAAGCUGCAUGCUCAGUCAAAGAGGAUGGCCUUCCCCGAAUAGAGACUGACCGGUCUUUGGUCUAAGGUAUAAGAGUAGCUGCGCUCCCCUGCUAGAACCUCCAAACAAGCUCUCAAAAAUGGUUGGUUGACUUGACAUGCUGGCUGCAGUUGUUGGCU